UUAUCAAACUUGCUACGAGGUUGUUCUAACAAGUCUGAUACAGUCAUGAUAUAACAAGAAUGUUACAAGAUUGACGACACGAGGUUGUAACAAUAUUGUUGUGUCAUGACUGUAACGGACUUGUUGGAACAACCUUGCAACAAGUCUGAUAA
rnacentral:miRNA from 1 species